GUUACAUCCAUUUAUUUAAUUUAUAUCUGUAAGCAACUAUAAACCAUUGCUGACGAAAGACGAUUCCGAGCAUACCUCGGUAAUACAUAGUUUGAAGUGCCGAAAUUUUUUUUAACCUAACCUCCCUACGUUUUUUCCCGAUUAUUAUAAAAAUUCACUUGAAAACCAAAAACGAAUUGCAUCAUUAAAAACAAGAUUAAUAAUU